rnacentral:ncRNA from 1 species
UAUGGGCAAACCUGUCGAAAGGCAGGGGCGCAAAGCCAGGUAUCUGCAGCGUUUUUAACGUAUGAUUGACCAG